rnacentral:lncRNA from 1 species
CUGGCUUGAUGCUGUACUCUGAAUUUUGUCAGUGGAGUUGGUGGAAGGGCAGAACUGAAAUUCACAGAGCAUUUGCAACUUGACAAAAGCAUAAGAGCCUCCUGUAUUCAUCAUCCCAGCCGUUCACCCAGCAGUCUUAGAGGAUAGAAGUCACUACCCUCAGUUUAUGAAAUAAGUUAAGCAAUUUGCCCGAGCUUCUAGGCCCUAAUAAAGGGCAGGGCUGGGUUUGAAACCAAACCCAGUCAGAGUCAAACAUGUUUGCUGCUGCUCAGAAGCAAUUCUCCACCCUGCUCUUCAGCUCUACCCUCAGAGGCAAAAUGGCAGCUCCAAGACAGUGACAUAAGCAUCAGGGCUGGAAUGUGGUCUUCCUGAGGUGCUCUUCACUUCAGGGUCCUUCAAUCAGACAGAUGGUUUGCACCAAGCCCUUCAGCCUCCAAGCCCACCCUGUUCAACUACCAGAUUCUUUGGAGAUACAUAAUCUUGGAUUGCACAACUUGGAAAUACCAGAUGGAAAAGGACAAGCCAGCAACCAGGACACCUGUGUCCAUCUAGUUCAAAGGGAAAACAUUUUACUUUUUUCUAAGACUUUAUUGAAUUUCAAUAAUCCCUCAAGCUCUAAAAUUACUAGUGUGUGAAAAGUCUAAAACAUGAUCCUUGGAAAUAACCAAUGUUAUAAAUUAAGAAAAAAAAGCCUAUUUAAAAAGCAUUGAUAGCAAUGGAAUAAUUGUCUCAAAACUGCCCUUUUCCAUAUUAAUCUUCUAAAAUUCACAUUUUAGGCAUGCCAAUCUUCUACCCAAGGCUUUCAAAAAUUUCUCCUGCCCAGUGAUCUAGAACCAUAGUUAUAUAUG